UACGGAGGGGGCUAGCGUUGUUCGGAAUUACUGGGCGUAAAGCGCGCGUAGGCGGCUUUGUAAGUUAGAGGUGAAAGCCCGGAGCUCAACUCCGGAACUGCCUUUAAGACUGCAUCGCUAGAAUUGUGGAGAGGUGAGUGGAAUUCCGAGUGUAGAGGUGAAAUUCGUAGAUAUUCGGAAGAACACCAGUGGCGAAGGCGACUCGCUGGACAAGUAUUGACGCUGAGGUGCGAAAGCGUGGGGAGCAAACAGGAUUAGAAA
rnacentral:rRNA from 1 species